rnacentral:tRNA from 1 species
UAUAUAUAAGUGUAAAUGCAUAAAAAAUUUUGAGUUUUUAGGUUUUAAUUUAUAUUAAAAUAUAUAA